UACGGGGGGGAGCAAGCGUUGUUCGGAUUUACUGGGCGUAAAGGGCGCGUAGGCGGCCACCGCAAGUCAAUUGUGAAAUCUCCGGGCUUAACUCGGAAAGGUCAACUGAUACUGCGGGGCUAGAGUGCGGAAGGGGCAACUGGAAUUCUCGGUGUAGCGGUGAAAUGCGUAGAUAUCGAGAGGAACACCUGCGGCGAAGGCGGCUCACUGGACCGGAACUGACGCUGAGGCGCGAAAGCGUGGGGAGCAAACAGG
rnacentral:rRNA from 1 species